rnacentral:snRNA from 1 species
AGCCAUGCGAUGAGCACAAAGCAAACUAUUCUUUCGCCUUUUACUAAAGAAUACCGUGUGCUCGUCACUUACAAUGGCCUAAGCCUAUUUUUGGAGGGGGUUUCUGCACAGAUCUC